rnacentral:rRNA from 1 species
GGGAACAUACCCUUUCCUGCGGAAUAGCUCCGGGAAACUGGAAUUAAUACCGCAUACGCCCUACGGGGGAAAGAUUUAUCGGGGAAGGAUUGGCCCGCGUUGGAUUAGCUAGUUGGUGGGGUAAAGGCCUACCAAGGCGACGAUCCAUAUCUGGUCUGAGAGGAUGAUCAGCCACUUUGGGACUGAGACACGGCCCAAACUCCUACGGGAGGCAGCAGUGGGGAAUAUUGGACAAUGGGCGCAAGCCUGAUCCAGCCAUGCCGCGUGAGUGAUGAAGGCCUUAGGGUUGUAAAGCUCUUUCACCGGAGAAGAUAAUGACGGUAUCCGGAGAAGAAGCCCCGGCUAACUUCGUGCCAGCAGCCGCGGUAAUACGAAGGGGGCUAGCGUUGUUCGGAAUUACUGGGCGUAAAGCGCACGUAGGCGGAUAUUUAAGUCAGGGGUGAAAUCCCAGAGCUCAACUCUGGAACUGCCUUUGAUACUGGGUAUCUUGAGUAUGGAAGAGGUAAGUGGAAUUCCGAGUGUAGAGGUGAAAUUCGUAGAUAUUCGGAGGAACACCAGUG